GUUUUAUUAUAUUCAAUCUGAUGGUAAAAUAACCCAGCAAAUUGUUCAUCUUAUAUACUAUACUUUUUAGUUCUAUGAAUUUCCAGGAAAUGUUUAUAAUUUUAAUUUCUUUAUUGAGAUUCAUGUGUCAUAAUGUGUGUGUGUUUGUUUUGUUUUACAUUUUAAUUUUUAAUUGUAUGCAUGUUAUGUAUGUUUAAAUGUAUGUGUAUGGAUGUUUUGGCUGAGGGAAUGUCUUUGUACCAUUUACAUGCCUGGUGCUCAAAGAGACCCAAAGAACCCUCUGGAAUUGGAGUUACAGAUAGUUAUGGCUGCUGUAUGGGGGUUGAGAAUCUAACCCAGCUCGUCUUAAUCUCUGAGGCAUCUCUCCUGCCUCUGUAAUGUGUCUUCUUUAGAUGCUUGCAUAGGAUUCUUUCAAUAGCUGUGAAGUCCUCCUUGGCUCAUUCCUUCAGACAGUGGGCCUUUGUGAGAUCAGUUUCCUUUGACUUUUAACUGUCACUUUUUCAUGUUUUGUUACCCAUAUAAUUUUUUCUCUUUAAACAUUUUAUAAAUAUAUGAAUAAUAGGUUGUAAAGACUGGAGUCUGUUGUCUUCUCUGAGUUCUCUUUAAAAGGAAGUUGAAUUAUCAUCUGUUUGGACUUUGUAUGAUAUGAACCUCACCUCUGCCCUGGCCCACUCUGGUCUGACUCCUGCUUUAUUCUGUCAUGCACAUAUGUGCAGGGGUUUUGUCAUUUGUUUGUUUUGUUUUGUUAUUGUUUUGGCUUGGGUUUAUUUGGGGUAGGUGCUUUAUUUCAGUUUUCUUAUAUAAUAUAUGUAUAUGAAAACAUAUAAACGUAGACACAUUGAUGGAGAUAGAGAAGUGCUAGGGAUCUAACUCAAAGUCAUAUAUAGAUGUAUAUGCUAAGCAUAUGCUCUAUCAAAGAGAUACUUUUUGUUUUCAGUUUAUAAUUUUUAAUUUCAGAAGAGUUAGUCUUUUGGGUUCUUUUUUUUUUGUUUUGUUUUGCUUUAUUGUUUAUUUCUUGUUUUUCAAGACAGGGUUUCUCUUUGUAACAGCCUUAGCUGUCCUGGAACUCACUUUGUAGACAAAGCUGGCCUCAAACUCACAGAGAUCCAUCUACCUCCAUCUCCCAAGGGCAGGGACUAGAGGUGUGCACUACUGCUGCAAAUCUCUGUUACUGCUAGAAUGGAAUUUCACUGAAUUCUUCAAUUUUGCAGGCUCGCUUAAUGGCAGGACUUUAUGAGUACUGUUUCUUUGCCUACAUCUAUUUUGGGGGCUUGGAGAUUAAAGCCAGAACCAUCUACAUGCCAAACAAGAAUUGUACCACUGAGUCACAUUUUUGGCAACGUCUGCAGAUUUAUACACACCCUUCCCUCUGUCCUAUCUCUCACUGACUAGCUUCUGACACUCUGGUCUUCAGAUACUAGUCACUUAGUGAAGUUACUCAGGAUUUCUUUCUUCCUGUGUUUUGUUUCCUUAGAUGUGUGUGUGUGUGUGUGUGUGUGUGUG
rnacentral:lncRNA from 1 species